GAUGAACGCUGGCGGCGUGCCUAAUACAUGCAAGUCGAGCGAACGGACGAGAAGCUUGCUUCUCUGAUGUUAUCGGCCGACGGGUGAUUCACACGUGUAUAACCUACCUAUCAGACUGGGAUAACUUCUGGAAACCGUAUCUACUACCCGAUAAUAUUUUGCACCUCAUUGUUCAAACGUUAAAUUCGGUCUUUCUGUCACUUAUAGCUGGCUCCGCGCUGCAUUAGCUAGUUGUUAAUGUAACGGCUUACCAAGGCAACGAUGCAUAGCCGACCUCAGAGGGUGAUCGGACACCCUGGAAGUGAGACAGGGCAGAGACACCUACGGGAGGCAGCAGUAGGGAAUCUUACGCAAGGGGGGAAAGGGGGACAGAGCAAAGCCGCGUGAGUGAUGAACGUGUAAGGAUCGGAAAACUCUGUUGUUAGGGAAGAACAUAUGUGGAAGUAACCGUGCAGAUAUUGACGGUACCGGAUCAGAAAGCCACGGCUAACUACGUG
rnacentral:rRNA from 1 species